rnacentral:rRNA from 1 species
GAUGAACGCUGGCGGCGUGCCUAAUACAUGCAAGUCGAGCGAACAGACGAGGAGCUUGCUCCUCUGACGUUAGCGGCGGACGGGUGAGUAACACGUGGAUAACCUACCUAUAAGACUGGGAUAACUUCGGGAAACCGGAGCUAAUACCGGAUAAUAUAUUGAACCGCAUGGUUCAAUAGUGAAAGACGGUUUUGCUGUCACUUAUAGAUGGAUCCGCGCCGCAUUAGCUAGUUGGUAAGGUAACGGCUUACCAAGGCAACGAUGCGUAGCCGACCUGAGAGGGGGAUCGGCCCACACGGGACUGAGACACGGGCCCGAACCCCUCGGGGGGGAGGCGGAGGGGAACCUUCCGAAAGGGGGAAAGCCUGAAGGGAGAAACGCCGGGGAGGUAAUGAAGUGCCCGGAACGGAAAACCCUGUUUUUUGGGAAAAAAAAAUGGGUAAAUAACCUUUCCCCGCUUUGAGGGUACUAAUUAGAAAAGCACGGGCUAACUACGU